rnacentral:rRNA from 1 species
AGAGUUUGAUCAUGGCUCAGGAUGAACGCUGGCGGCGUGCUUAACACAUGCAAGUCGAACGGAGUUUAGAUGAAACCUAGUGAUUCUAAACUUAGUGGCGGACGGGUGAGUAACGCGUGGGUAACCUGCCUUAUACCGGGGGACAACAGUUAGAAAUGACUGCUAAUACCGCAUAAGCGCACGAAGUCGCAUGACUUAGUGUGAAAAACUCCGGUGGUAUAAGAUGGACCCGCGUCUGAUUAGCCAGUUGGUGAGGUAACGGCCCACCAAAGCAACGAUCAGUAGCCGGCCUGAGAGGGUGAACGGCCACAUUGGGACUGAGACACGGCCCAAACUCCUACGGGAGGCAGCAGUGGGGAAUAUUGGACAAUGGGGGAAACCCUGAUCCAGCGACGCCGCGUGAGUGAAGAAGUAUUUCGGUAUGUAAAGCUCUAUCAGCAAGGAAGAUAAUGACGGUACUUGACUAAGAAGCCCCGGCUAACUACGUGCCAGCAGCCGC